CCAUGCUGUCGUGUUCGUGGCC
rnacentral:miRNA from 1 species